CCUCCCCGCCGUUUGAGUAAUGGGGGGACGCAGGAGGAUAGAGUAAGCGCGCUGCUGGAUAUGCGCGUUCAAGCAGUUAGGCUGAUGAGUAGGCAAAUCCGCUCAUCAUAAGGCUGAGCUGUGAUGACGAGGGAAAUAUAGUACCGAAGUUCUUGAUUCCACACUGCCAAGAAAAGCCUCUAGCGAGGCGGGAGGUGCCCGUACCGCAAACCGACACAGGUAGGCGAGGAGAGAAUCCUAAGGUGAUCGAGAGAACUCUCGUUAAGGAACUCGGCAAAAUGACCCCGUAACUUCGGGAGAAGGGGUGCUCUGGUAGGGUGUAUAGCCCGAGAGAGCCGCAGUGAAUAGGCCCAGGCGACUGUUUAGCAAAAACACAGGUCUCUGCGAAGCCGCAAGGCGAAGUAUAGGGGCUGACGCCUGCCCGGUGCUGGAAGGUUAAGAGGAGGGGUUAUCCUUUGGGAGAAGCUCUGAAUCGAAGCCCCAGUAAACGGCGGCCGUAACUAUAACGGUCCUAAGGUAGCGAAAUUCCUUGUCGGGUAAGUUCCGACCCGCACGAAAGGCGUAACGAUCUGGGCACUGUCUCAACGAGAGACUCGGUGAAAUUAUAGUACCUGUGAAGAUGCAGGUUACCCGCGACAGGACGGAAAGACCCCGUGGAGCUUUACUGUAGCCUGAUAUUGAAUUUUGGUACAGCUUGUACAGGAUAGGUAGGAGCCUGAGAAGCCGGAGCGCUAGCUUCGGUGGAGGCGUCGGUGGGAUACUACCCUGGUUGUAUUGAAAUUCUAACCCGCAGCCCUGAUCGGGCUGGGAGACAGUGUCAGGUGGGCAGUUUGACUGGGGCGGUCGCCUCCUAAAGAGUAACGGAGGCGCCCAAAGGUUCCCUCAGAAUGGUUGGAAAUCAUUCGUAGAGUGUAAAGGCACAAGGGAGCUUGACUGCGAGACCUACAAGUCGAGCAGGGACGAAAGUCGGGCUUAGUGAUCCGGUGGUUCCGCAUGGAAGGGCCAUCGCUCAACGGAUAAAAGCUACCCCGGGGAUAACAGGCUUAUCUCCCCCAAGAGUCCACAUCGACGGGGAGGUUUGGCACCUCGAUGUCGGCUCAUCGCAUCCUGGGGCUGUAGUCGGUCCCAAGGGUUGGGCUGUUCGCCCAUUAAAGCGGUACGCGAGCUGGGUUCAGAACGUCGUGAGACAGUUCGGUCCCUAUCCGUCGUGGGCGUAGGAAAUUUGAGAGGAGCUGUCCUUAGUACGAGAGGACCGGGAUGGACACACCGCUGGUGUACCAGUUGUCUUGCCAAAGGCAUCGCUGGGUAGCUAUGUGUGGACGGGAUAAGUGCUGAAAGCAUCUAAGCAUGAAGCCCCCCUCAAGAUGAGAUUUCCCAUAGCGCAAGCUAGUAAGAUCCCUGAAAGAUGAUCAGGUUGAUAGGUCAGAGGUGGAAGCACGGCGACGUGUGUAGCUGACUGAUACUAAUCGAUCGAGGACUUAACCAAAA
rnacentral:rRNA from 2 species